rnacentral:ncRNA from 1 species
UGCGCAGGGCGUGCUUCAUGACGAUGUUGGGGAAGCUCACGCCCUUGAGGCGGGCGGUGCGGAUGUAUUGCGCGGUCAUGACCUCGGCCAUGGAGGCGCGGGUCAUGCGGGCGACGUAGCCCACGCCGUAAAGCGCGAUGGUGGCGACGGGCAGGGUGAUGUUGGCCCAUGUGAAGUCUUCCAUCG